rnacentral:lncRNA from 1 species
CAGGAGCCAGAUGUGUCUUGCAGAUGAUCACACCCACCUUGGGUUUGGAAUGAAUGGAUAUAACUUUGGUGUUAUGAGCUAUUUCUGACGUUGGUGUUUUUUUAAGGGGAAACACUCAACAGGGGAGCCAUUAAAAGGGGACUAGGUGGAGGUUGCACAGAGGAGAUCCCUAGAAGACUUCUCCCCCACAAGCCCGUUUGUCUCCAGUCCUCUCAGGGGCCCCUCCAUCACAUGAACAGAUGUGCAACUGCUCAAAACAGCACACUCCUGGUUGGCAAAAGCAUCGAUUAGCAUGUAACACAUGCCCACAGGAGCUAAGCGUCCAAGACUCUGUGGCUUUUGUUCCCGGGUGGAAAAGCUCAAGCCAACGUCUGUGGUUCUCCCUCCAACAGCACCAGUGUGUGCAGGCUGGGAUAUCCGGUGUCUGCACUCAUGAGAAUUUGUCAUUUUUAUGGCUCUGCGGUGAGCUUAUGUUGAGCAACGCUCUGACUCCAGCUGCUUUUCCACCUGCACAGAUCUCGGUGACAAUGCUCAAGAAAUAAAUCGGAAAAGG